CAGUCGCCGCGGGAAUACGAAGGGUGCAAGCGUUAAUCGGAAUUACUGGGCGUAAAGCGUGCGUAGGCGGUUUGUUAAGUCUGUUGUGAAAUCCCCGGGCUCAACCUGGGAAUGGCAAUGGAUACUGGCAAGCUAGAGUGUGUCAGAGGAUGGUGGAAUUCCCGGUGUAGCGGUGAAAUGCGUAGAGAUCGGGAGGAACAUCAGUGGCGAAGGCGGCCAUCUGGGACAACACUGACGCUGAGGCACGAAAGCGUGGGGAGCAAACAGGAUUAGAUACCCCCGUAGUCCCUGUCUCUUAUAA
rnacentral:rRNA from 1 species